GAAGCAUGUCAAAUUAAGUCAUAAAAAUAUGAAACAUGUCAAAGUAUCAUAUUAAGGCAUAAACAUGUUAAACAUAUCAUAUUAAGUAAUAAACAUGUUAAACAUGUCUUAGUAUCAUAAUAAGUCGUAAAUAUGUUGUGAGGGAAAUUACUCAUUUUUAUUUUGUAAUAAGUUUGUUCUUGUUCUGUUUCAUUCUCAUGUGAGGAUAAUGCCUAUGAAGGCCACGUCAUGUCACUCAGAGAUCAGUACAGAAUGUUUAUCUUCUUACAGAGACACAAACAUGUUAUUCCGCUCAAGGUUCAUCUAAACAUCUUCCAAGAUCCUAAAACAAAGCCUGUUUGAACUGCCUCAAACUGCUUCUUAUCGGUACACAGAAUUAUGUCAUGCUCUGCGUUUCAUAUAUAUAGUAGUGGUUCAGUACAAGGGGUUCAGAGAGCUCUCAUUAUUCUAUCCUGCUUUAUUCUAUCCUGUGUUAACAAUCUUUCUGUAAUAAACCCUUUUACCUUAAGAGGACGAGUCUGCGAGUGUUGUCUAAUUUCCACGACAAUUUGGUGUCUCCUGGCUGGGCUGCACAAGUCUUUUCAGCUUUUCUGGACAACAAGCAAACCGGAGGACGCAUGUGGAAAAGUUUCACCCUGAAGCUCAUGUCAAUACAGGCGGUUUGCCCUUUAUUGUGCAGAGCGAAAGACCAACGCAACCUUACCACUGACCGGUAGGAAUCAUCAAAAAAAAAAAAAAAAAAAAACAGCCUUAAGGUAAAUUAGAAUUUUAUGAAGUCAUUGUGUAUUACUGUCUGUAUGGAAGGGAGUCAAUGAUAUAAGAAAUGCAUGUAUUACAUUGAGCAAUUUCUUAUAAGAAGUUUGGGGAACUUCGCCUCUGCGAUGGCAGAGAGGUUGGUGUUUCUUAGAUCACAGCUUCAAAACUAAGAUAUAUACCGACGGGUAUAUAUAUAGAGAGAGAAGAUAAUAACGGUAAAAAUAAACAGAAACAGUCUGUUUCGAGGAAUAAAUAAGUAAAGAGAGUACUUAUUAAGAAAAGAAAUAGGCACAGUAUUUUUACGGCAGAUUAUUAUCAAGUAGCAUGCCCCAUUGACUCAUUCCAUCAUAUCAGCGGUACAUGAUACAUUUGGCAAAUUUAACGCACAAGUAAAUUUUACUGAGAUAAAAAUAAAAAUAAUGAUAAUAAUAUAUAUUUUAUCUAAUAUAUUUAAUAAUAUUUUUUCUUAAAAAGAAGGGAAGAGAAAACUGUAAGUCCUACCAAAUUUCUGUAUGUGGACUCACCCUCACAGGUAAACUCUUUUACAUUCUUAAGGUUUGCUCUAUUGAACCUAUAGGUUAUAUGAUUCACAUUUUGAACCUUUUCUGUCUGUGCACUUCACUUGAUUCACUUGAUGUUCAUAGCAUGUUAAAUUGAUUAAAACUUUGAAAGUUAUAGAAGUGUAAAAGGAAAAAAUAAAUCUAUAAAUAAAAAUAGAAAAACAUGUAGCAAAGCACAUCCUGUGACACAUGCUAUGGUAUGUACAGGGUGUUCAUAUGUUGAUCCUGUUGUCCCCCUAUCUAUAUAGAGGAGAAAUAACUCACAAGCAUGACGGUCGGUGUUACUUUCACGAGAGCUUUACUCGAAUGAAUUGUCAAAAAUACAACAAUAUACACAUAACAAACAGUUGUACAAAACAGUAAACCUAAAGUGCAUUAAGACAUUAUUUAAAUAAAAGUACAAAAUAUGCGUCUUUCAUGUCCACAUGUUCAAAUUACGGCUAAACACAAGCUAGUGCUGUUCUGGUUUUCAGUACAAGGUGGAGGGAUGGAGGAACUGUUUUUACUGUGUUAACUUGCUGACAUAUUGCAAUGGCAAUAUGUCAGUAAGUUAACACAGAAAAAAACAGUUGAGUUAAACAUGCACAACAUACAUAGAGUAGAAAUAAAUCACAAGCAUGACGGUCGGUGUUACUUCCACGAGAACUUUACACGAAUGGAAAAUUAUCGCUUUUCUUCCAGGUAUGUGGGGGAGACUAAAGCAAUCGAUCCCAGAGUGCAGUAUUCAGACCAUCCUAAUAGAUGACUGAUCAGCGUUAUACUUACUUUAAUUAUCAAUGUAUUAACACAUUAAAAUGGAACAACAGCGAAAAAUAAACACUCUUUUAACUCUCUUUUUUAAACAUUUGACUAUUUAACUUGUUACACUCUCCCCCAAAUCCUCAACAAAUCCUCUUCUGAACAAAUCCUCUUCUGAAAGGGGAUACUUAGGACAAAGGUCACAGUUCAAAUAUAUCGUCAACAGUCCAUAUUCACAGUCCAUAUCUGUUGACUGGCUACUGUAUAAACAGUCCAUAAAGAGUCUUUGCACAUACUCUUGAUCAACAGUCCAUCGGUUUCAAUGAUCUGUGCAGUCUGCAAAUUCAAAGUUAAUUUCAACAGCCCGUGAAAACAGUCUAUGAAAACAGUCCAUUAGUAGUUCAUGGUUCUAUUUCAGUACGUCACUUCUGUAAACUCACAUUUGCUGGAGUCCAUACAUACAGGGUGGCUGAAGGUAGUAUGGCUGCAAGGGUGGCAACCAUGGGACCAGUCCUGGUUCAGGGUGGGAGCCAUGGGAGCCAUAGGCAAUGACACUCAGUUUGCCAUCUUGUUUUUGAUACAGUACUGCUCCCAAGCCUUGAUGUGAUGCUUCAGUGUGUACUAUUAAAGGCUGAGUGAAAUCAGGGAACCCUAACACUGGUGGAUGAAGCAAACAGUCAAUCAGCUGUUCAAGUGCCUGCUGGUGCUGGUCAGUCCACGUGAUUGGCUUGUUCGAGGUCACAACACGAGUCAUUUUCUUUGUUUUUGGUUUUCUUGUGUUUUCUUGUGUCUCUUGAAAACAUUUGUAUCUGCUUUCAAGAGAUCGUACAGGCAACUGGCCUUUCUAGAAAAGUCUUUAAUGUACUGCCUAUAGUAGGUGAGUAACCCAAGCAUUUUUCAUUUUUCAUUUUUCUGAGCUGGCCCACAUUCUGUGGUCUGAUGUCUUUCAAGGCCCUAACUGCUUCAAAAUCUGCUGGAUCAACUCUACUUCCCUCUGCAGAGAUCAUUCUCCCCAAAUAACGGACUUCAGGUUUAAAGAGGUCGCACUUACUUGGUUUGAGUUUGAUGCCAUACUCUCUGAGGCAUUUCAACACUUUUUGUACAUCCUCCACAUGAUUUUCAAAGCUUUUUCUGAGGACCAGUGUGUCGUCCAGAUAAGGGAUGCAGAUGUCAUCCCGGAGCCCUUCCAAACAUUCCUCCAUACAGCGUUGAAGAGCAGCAGGGGCAUUCAUGAGGCCGAAAGCGAUGCGUAUCCACUCAUAGAGUCUCCUUGGAGUAACAAAAGCUGUCAUUGGUCUGCUCUCUUCAGAAAUAAAUCCCUGGUGGUAAGCGUUUCCCUGGUCCAGAAGAGAGAAUCUGGAAUUACCACCCAGACUGUCCAUGAUGUCUUGGACCCGAGGGAUGGGCUGGCGGUCGGGAUAGGUCAACCAAAGGUAGCCAACCUUUUUCCUCACACAUGCAACAGGUGAAGAAUACGAUGAGUUUGACUUCCUAACCCAGCCCUGUGCUCUUAGGUUGUGGAGGUAACCUUUCAUCUCCAGAUACAGUGGCCUGGGUACCAUACCUGACAUGUAUGUGCGUUUGACUGGUUCUGGGUCUUUAACAGAGAUGGCCAUUUGCAAUCUUUCGAUACAGCCAAUAUCAUGGUCUGAUCUUGAGAAGGAAUGAUACUCUUCUCUGAGCAUUUGUCUGACUAUCUGUCUCUGUUCUUCUUUCAAGUAACUUACAUUUACAGGUGGAUCCCACUGUUCACUACCAUUACAUGGGACCUGGAUACUGGUGUGGUUCAUGGUGGCUGGUGUUGAAGCCUUUUUUCAAAAAUCUGGGCAGGUAACACAGUCAUUACGGUUUGUACUGUGCCAAUUACAGUGCGCCCUGGCAAAACAAUGUCGUGGUCAGUUGGGUUAGAAACAUCAACAGUGAUGACUGGAAAAACACCUUUCUUGACUUUGACUAGUGUGUCAUAGAACUCAAGAUCAUCUGGCCACUGGGGGUUCAGGUCUGGCUGAAACAACAUGGUCAUGUCAUCUUUAAAAGGCUGGGCAGCUACACAACACUCAAUGUGAAUGCUACUCUGUUUUGGUACAGUACCCAUCUAUUUCUUUGUUUUCACUGCAUACUCAUCUAAUGUUGUGUUAAAUUUUGCCCAUUAACUGGAUGUAAUUAACAAUACUUAGCAUAGAAACAGAUACUCACAUCUACCAGACUGUUGCGUGAAGAAAGCAAGACACCGAACCAGUGAGUGAGAAGAAGCAACGGUCCAAGUUUAUUGUUCCAAAUCACAUAGGAUCUACACAGUUGAGAUGUCCCAAGGGUGAUCUAAAAACCCAGAACCGAGGCUCUCCUAUUUAUACUGUUUCUUAGGUUCAGAUUCCCCACCCUCAGCAUUUUUCCCAAUACCAAUAUGUCCUAAGUUAGCUGAUACCAGAAAACCCUUACAUUCGCUAAACGGUAUUUUUGAGCAACCAUUAUCUCGCGGAAUUCGCUUACCUCAGUGCCCCUUAUCUUUUAAAUUCAGCUCAGCUCCACUCCCCU
ensembl:lncRNA